rnacentral:rRNA from 1 species
AUUGAACGCUGGCGGCAGGCCUAACACAUGCAAGUCGAGCGGGGUUUUCGGACCUAGCGGCGGACGGGUGAGUAAUGCGUAGGAAGCUGCCCGAUAGAGGGGGAUACCAGUUGGAAACGACUGUUAAUACCGCAUAAUGUCUACGGACCAAAGUGUGGGACCUUCGGGCCACAUGCUAUCGGAUGCGCCUACGUGGGAUUAGCUAGUUGGUGAGGUAAUGGCUCACCAAGGCGACGAUCUCUAGCUGGUUUGAGAGGAUGAUCAGCCACACUGGAACUGAGACACGGUCCAGACUCCUACGGGAGGCAGCAGUGGGGAAUAUUGGACAAUGGGCGCAAGCCUGAUCCAGCCAUGCCGCGUGUGUGAAGAAGGCCUUCGGGCUGUAAAGCACUUUCAGCGAGGAGGAAGGGGUUGUAGUUAAUAGCUGCAACCUUUGACGUUACUCGCAGAAGAAGCACCGGCUAACUCUGUGCCAGCCGCCGCAGUAAUAC